rnacentral:tRNA from 1 species
GGUGGGUUCGUAUAACGGCUAGUACUCGAGAUUUUCAUUCUCGCAAUGGGAGUUCGAUUCUCCCACCCACUA